rnacentral:rRNA from 1 species
UACGUAGGGGGCAAGCGUUGUCCGGAAUCAUUGGGCGUAAAGCGCGCGUAGGCGGCCCUGUAAGUCCGUUGUGAAAGUCGAAGGCUCAACCUUCGAAAGCCGAUGGAUGCUGCAGGCUAGAGUCCGGAAGAGGCGAGUGGAAUUCCUGGUGUAGCGGUGGAAUGCGCAGAUAUCAGGAGGAACACCAAUAGCGAAGGCAGCUCGCUGGGACGGUACUGACGCUAAGGCGCGAAAGCGUGGGGAGCGAACAGG